GAUGAACGCUGGCGGCGUGCCUAAUACAUGCAAGUCGAGCGAACAGACGAGGAGCUUGCUCCUCUGACGUUAGCGGCGGACGGGUGAGUAACACGUGGAUAACCUACCUAUAAGACUGGGAUAACUUCGGGAAACCGGAGCUAAUACCGGAUAAUAUAUUGAACCGCAUGGUUCAAUAGUGAAAGACGGUUUUGCUGUCACUUAUAGAUGGAUCCGCGCCGCAUUAGCUAGUUGGUAAGGUAACGGCUUACCAAGGCAACGAUGCGUAGCCGACCUGAGAGGGUGAUCGGCCACACUGGAACUGAGACACGGUCCAGACUCCUACGGGAGGCAGCAGUAGGGAACCUUCCGCGAUGGGCGAAAGCCUGACGGAGCAACGCCGCGUGAGUGGUGAAGGUCUUCGGAUCGUAAAACUCUGUUAUUAGGGAAGAACAAAUGUGUAAGUAACUAUGCACGUCUUGACGGUACCUAAUCAGAAAGCCACGGCUAACUACGUG
rnacentral:rRNA from 1 species